UGAGCAACCUGCCCUUAACUCUGGGAUAAGCCUGGGAAACUGGGUCUAAUACCGGAUAUGACUCCUCAUCGCAUGGUGGGGGGUGGAAAGCUUUAUUGUGGUUUUGGAUGGACUCGCGGCCUAUCAGCUUGUUGGUGAGGUAAUGGCUCACCAAGGCGACGACGGGUAGCCGGCCUGAGAGGGCGACCGGCCACACUGGGACUGAGACACGGCCCAGACUCCUACGGGAGGCAG
rnacentral:rRNA from 1 species